GUGCCAGCUCCUGAAAGCCUGGGCUUUGCCCAAGGAGGUCACCACUGUGGGGCUUCUCCUGAGAUAUCUGGUCUCCUUCAAAGUGGCAUCCACAGGAGGGAAAUAAGCAGAAGUUACUCUAACUCCAGCUCAUAAAAUAAUGACCCCUUGAGACUGCCACUGCUCCAGUCCUCCUGCAGCUCUGCCACUGUCCUGUUACAAAGACUGUUGGUGGCCUGAAGGCCUCACAAAGCUGUGACCAAAGGUUCAUUAUCAAAUGAUUUCCAUGAGGUCGAGAGGUUUCCAGCAGUGAAUGGAGCAUCUCAGCCUUGGUUUCACAAAGGAGAGAUGGACCUAGGUGCACAAGGAUCUGUCAUGUGCAAUUGUGUUUACUUGUGCCUGUUUGCUAACCUCCAGCUUCGUGGAACAGGUCCCCUGAUCUGGUUCACAGCAUGGCCCUGCCAGGAGCUGGAAUUGGGAAGAUUGAGGAGUGAUGCAAUGUGGCAUGAGGACAAAAAAGGUGGAACUGGGUGUUGGGAUGUUUCUGAGGCCACAGGAUCAGAAAACUGUGGCCUUUCUGCUGCCAGCCUGAGGCGAGCCUCAAUUUCUAGCCACUGGUGA
rnacentral:lncRNA from 1 species